rnacentral:tRNA from 1 species
GGGGGCAUAGCUCAGUUGGGAGAGCGCAUGACUGUUAAUCAUGUUGUCGAAGGUUCAAUCCCUUCUGUUCCCG